rnacentral:rRNA from 1 species
UGCAAGUCGAGCGGUAACAGGUGUAGCAAUACAUGCUGACGAGCGGCGAACGGGUGAGUAAUGCUUCGGAAUCUGCCCAAUGGUGGGGAAUAACCAGCCGAAAGGUUGGCUAAUACCGCAUAAGUCCUACGGGGGAAAGCAGGGGAUCGUAAGACCUUGCGCCGAUGGAUGAGCCGAAGUCGGAUUAGCUAGUUGGUAGGGUAACGGCCUACCAAGGCGACGAUCCGUAGCUGGUCUGAGAGGACGACCAGCCACACUGGGACUGAGACACGGCCCAGACUCCUACGGGAGGCAGCAGUGGGGAAUAUUGGACAAUGGGGGAAACCCUGAUCCAGCGACGCCGCGUGUGUGAAGAAGGCCUGCGGGUUGUAAAGCACUUUUAGUGGGGAUGAAAAGCUCAGGGCUAACACCUCUGGGUCUUGACCUAACCCAAAGAAAAGGCACCGGCUAACUCUGUGCCAGCAGCCGCGGUAAUACAGAGGGUGCGAGCGUUAAUCGGAAUUACUGGGCGUAAAGCGUGCGUAGACGGUUAUGUAAGUCGGGUGUGA